rnacentral:rRNA from 1 species
AACGCUAGCUACAGGCUUAACACAUGCAAGUCGAACGGAUUCUGGAUUCGUCUGGAAUUAGUGGCAAACGGGUGAGUAACACGUAUCCAACCACCCUGCGACUCGGGGAUAGCCUCUUGAAAGAAAGAUUAAUACCCGAUGGUGUAAUGAGAUCUCCUGAUUUUAUUACUAAAGAUUUAUCGGUAUACGAUGGGGAUGCGUUCCAUUAGAUUGUUGGUAGGGUAACGGCCUACCAAGUCUACGAUGGAUAGGGGUUCUGAGAGGAAGAUCCCCCACAUUGGAACUGAGACACGGUCCAAACUCCUACGGGAGGCAGCAGUGAGGAAUCUUGGUCAAUGGGCGCAAGGCCUGAACCAGCCACGUAGCGUGAAGGAAGACUGCCCUUAGGGUUGUAAACUUCUUUUAUAAGGGAAUAACGUCGACAACGUGUUGUUGAUUGCAUGUACCUUAUGAAUAAGGAUCGGCUAACUCCGUGCCAGCAGCCGCGGUAAUACGGAGGAUCCGAGCGUUAUCCGGAUUUAUUGGGUUUAAAGGGUGCGUAGGCGGGAGAGGAAGUCAGUUGUGAAAUUUUAUGGCUCAACCAUAAACUUGCAGUUGAAACUCCUUUUCUUGAGUACACAAGAGGUGGGCGGAAUUUGUGGUGUAGCGGUGAAAUGCUUAGAUAUCACGAAGAACUCCGAUUG